UAAUUGGCUGGGGUGUAUCUCGUUUGUAAUGAGCGAGGAGAGCAGGGACAGGUGGCUGUGGUCAGCAGAAGAGGUUCUGGCAAUCUCCUACUUAAGGCUGUAGAAGAAGCCCCCCAGGCUGGCUGGCUGGGAUUUCUGGGCUGCUCUGGGGUCAACUCUCAGCCUGUGGGGUGGCUGUGGGCUGGGGUCCCUUGCUUUGGGGGUGGCAGAGGACAGGAGCUGCCUGUGCCCGCAAGCUUUGAAGACCCAAGGGAAGAUGCACAGGGCCUGAAGGGGAAAACACCUCAUGUACAGGUCCUAGGCUGCAGUUCAGUUCCUGGCAAUGAUGUACAAAACCAUGAAAAGGAGUAUAUGGGGCUGGAGGAAAUGGAAGUGGUUCCCAAGAGGCACAUGGAGCACAUUUAAAAUGCAGCUGUGUGCUUUGGGAAGUUUUGCAGCAGCGUUGCUCCCCUGCAGGAUGGAUACUCCCUGCUGCCUGGCUGGUUCUCCUGAGAACUGGGAGCCUUUGACCUGGUGCUGACUUUCUGCAGCUUGAAUCCUGAUCCUGAAACAAGCCUCAGGUGGGCCUGGAGCAUGGAUUGGAAAGCAGAAGAGCUGAGUCAUCCCCUGAGAAGAAACCUCCCACAGCAGAUGUUGCACCAUGUGAUCCUGCUGUCUCUUGCAGUCACUGCUGGAAGAACGCCUGUGUCACCUGAAGACCUGUGUGGAGAUAACACGGUCCUGUUCCUCCGGUCACAUCGCUAAAGCAAAGAUAAAUUCCUUGUUCGGUGCCCGGUGCACUGCAAGUGCCAGGAAAUCCUUCCUGUUUGGAAGCAUCCCUGCCUGUAUUGAGACCUUACCUUUGAAAGGUGAUAAUGUGAAAAGCAUCCUGCUACAUUUUGUAAUGAGGAUCUAUUUAUGUGUGCUAUGUGGGGGACGUCCUGUGGUUUUCAACACUGUGACCUCUGGGUGACUUUUCUGAGCUUUCCUCUGGCACUGAGCAGAGAGAAGGCAGCUUUAUGCCAAUAAUCUCGAAUGAAAGUUUACAAGGGCUAAAUUCAGUCCCUGUUUCUGUUCAUGUAUUGCCUGUGAUUUUAAGCAAGUCACUUAAUUUUCUUGUUCCUCAUCUGUAACAUAACCCUGCAUUUUCCCUCCCUGAAGCCUGCCUGCUUUCUGUAGAUCAGAUGUUGGUCCAGACAGGGCUGUCUUGGAAGCAGGUGCCUCAGCAGACUGCUGUAAAUCACUCAAGUAGAGUCCUGGAAUCACAGAAUUCAGUGUGAAUUCACAGAAAUCACAGAAAUCACAGAAAGGGAGGGACACACAAGGAUCAUCAAGUCCGAUGCCUAAAGUACCUUUAGUAGUUACUGAUACUGCUGAUACUUCAGUUUCCUCCAGUUCUCUGCUAACCAGACCAUAAGUUUCGUGACAUUUUCUGCAAUAUUUAAACCCCAAGUCCUUGACUUAGCUGAUUAUGAGAGAAACUUGGCUCCUGUUUUUUUUUGGGGGGGGGGGUUGUCUUGUCUUUUAAAGGUACAUCACUAGCACCAGUGCAAAAAUUAUCCUGAAAGUGUGAAUGUUCCUCGUCUGUUACCUGAUUUAUUUACCUGCUGGCACAGUGCACGUGUUGGCUAUGAACAAGUGGCAUCUGGGAAAAGUAGUAUGCAUAUUUAAGUAAUUUGGAGCCCACAAGUAACCACAAAAUCAGAAAUGUCUGAUUUUGUGUUUCCCUCUGGCUGUUCCAAAACAGCUGCAAGAGUUAAAGUUCUGUAUAUGUGCUGUCCUAUAUUACAGGAGCUGCAUUCAUAUCUUUCAUUCUCAGCCUCCGCCUCCUCCUAUUCAAUUUACAGUCUAGACUGUUUAAAAAUAUCUUGUUACUGCCUUUUUUUUUUUUUUCCUAUGGAGAAAGGGCACUUGUGAGACAAUGCUCUCAACUGGAGAUUACACAGAUUUGUUGCAUGUUGGUGCACGAUAACAGGAGAGGUUCCAACAAGCUCCAAUAUAUAAUAAACUGUGAAAGCAUAAAUUGCAUAUGAUUAAACCUUUGAUGGUGGGCUGUUAGGAAUUCCCAGUGCAACAUGCCACGCCGCCUUUUACAUCAGCCCUAACAAUGACAGUGCCAGACUCAUUGGCUCCAAGGGGUUAAUUAUACAUUAUGGAUGAAACAAUGCAAGGAUGCUUGUUAAUACUCAAUUAUUUGCAUGGUAACCCUGGGUGACUCCCUUACUGCUGCUGCCAAUUUGCAGUGCUCACCUGGGGCAAGAUAGGCUUGUCAUUCCUCACCCAAUCCACUUUCUUUCUGCCCCUCCUUGCUGUUUUUUUUUCCUAUUUGCAACACCAUUUUACUUGUCAAGGUGUCUGACAGGUGAAAAUCAGCCUACCUGAUUAUUGAAAUUUCAAAAGAAAUUUAAUCCAUCCGCAUUGGUUGGCAGUGUGCAGCUGAUGCUGGUCCAGGGCAAAAUAGAAAUGAGGGGCAGGUGAGAUGGGCAGGCAGGUGCUGAUGGACAACUACAGGAGUGAUAAAGCAGUGGGUGACAAAAAGGGUCAGAGAGGAAGUAGUUUGGGUGGUGAUAGUUAUCUGCCUGACUCUUAAGCAAAGCAUUGACUGGGAAAUCUUAUAUUUAGUCCUCCAAUAGAUGGGGUGCCUUGUGGGUCUAAGUUUAACAGUGCAGGUUCCCCCUGCUCUUCCCUGGGAGUAGCAGCAGGGCAGCUGGGUCAGGAGGGGUGCAUGGGGCUGGGCAAGGUGGUCCUAGAAGCCUGGCUGUGAUCCUUCAAGAACCCAGAGCCUGCCUGUGGGAUUAAUUGCUUUUAAACCCUGCUGGGAUAGUUGAGGGCUGUGUGGUGUUGCUUCCCUGCAUCAUGUGUGGGGUGAGGAUUUGGGAGAGAAAGCUGGGUGAUAGCUUCUAGCCCCUUCCUAGAACAUCAGAAGCCAUCCCCCUACUUUUGGCACCCUAACUCCAGGUGCCUGAGCACCUCUUAUCCACUGGAAGCUGGAGCUGACACUGGAGAGGCCCUAAUACCAAUGUUUCUGCCAGUCCCAUAGCACUGUGGUAUUAAUGAAAUCACUGGAUGAUGUUCUGUGAACUGAAGUUGCCAAAACUCUGUGUUACAACCUUCAGAUUAAGUGCUGCUCAUAAAAUCCUGGAGGUAACUGUGGAUGAGCUUAGCCUCAUCUAGGUGCCAGAUCCUCUCAUCUAGGAGGCUGCACUGUGGAGCAGCAGAGUCCAACACCAAGUGCUCCCACCUUGGGGAAACAGCCUUUGUUUCCCUGAGUAUUGACCUGGAGACCCAGAAGGUGUUUUUGAACUGUUAACUGAAAUGCCUUGGGCUUUUCUGUCAGAUACUUGUGAAGCAGGAAGGCCCAGCUACGUCUGCUCUAGGCCUCAUGGUCACCUUCAGGAACAGCAGCUUGGCCCUGAAUUGGUGCUGAGAACAGGACAGUUCAGAGUGACAGUUUCUUCAGAGUUCUGCAAAGACUUCGAUGCUGUGGGAGGAAGCACAAAGGCAUAAGCAUCCAGAGGCUGUGGAUUCCCCAGAAGAACCUAUUUCCCUGAUAACUAGAGGCUGAACAAGAGUGCGUCGUUAUAGAGGUUUAAAUAACCCACAUAAGGUCAGCUGCUGCUUAAAUCCUUACUACCAGGUCUGUAGAUAUUUUUGCUUUGUUUCUAAGCAAGCUGAGAGUCCCGGUGCCAAAGGGCAACAUGUAAAUUGUGCUGUUAUUCUGCAGUGUGCAAGGUAAUAAAUGGUGCUGUCAAUUGUUUUCACUCAAGUGACAGAUUUAUUCUCUUCAGAAUGAAUAACCAGGAAUGGCUAUUAUUGCAAAAAAUUCACUCUGUAUCAUCUUAUGCCUGUUUAACAAAUAAUGCUGAAGUCUAA